rnacentral:rRNA from 1 species
CCUACGGGGGGCAGCAGUGGGGAAUAUUGGGCAAUGGGCGCAAGCCUGACCCAGCAACGCCGCGUGAAGGAAGAAGGCUUUCGGGUUGUAAACUUCUUUUAAGAGGGAAGAGCAGAAGACGGUACCUCUUGAAUAAGCCACGGCUAACUACGUGCCAGCAGCCGCGGUAAUACGUAGGUGGCAAGCGUUGUCCGGAUUUACUGGGUGUAAAGAGUUGCGUAGGUGGCAUAAUAAGUAGCUAGUGAAAUCUGGUGGCUCAACCAUUCAGACUAUUAGCUAAACUGUUAAGCUCGAGACCGUUAGGGGUAACUGGAAUUUCUAGUGUAGGAGUGAAAUCCGUAGAUAUUAGAAGGAACACCAAUAGCGUAGGCAGGUUGCUGGGACGGUUCUGACACUAAGGCACGAAAGCGUAGGGAGCAAACGGGAUUAGAUACCCGUGUAGUC